GAACUCAAAAAGUAGUUCUGACAGGAGGGAAGGUGAUAAGCUGGCGUUACAUAAAGAAACUACAUGAAUUACAAAAUGAUGAAUUCCUAAAUGUUGCAAACAAGUUGAAAAAGGCACAUUUGGAGUGAUGGAAACAUAAAAUGAAAUUCUAUUAUAGGUGAGUUUAGCAGCACAAACUCUUAGCAAGAGUUGCGGAUGCACUUGAAUUUUUAAAAGAUCUUGGUAUUAGUGACUUUCAAGGUUGUGAAACAACAAUAGAAUUCAUCAGAAGGAUAGAUUCUUUAUUUGAUAUUCUCAAUUCUCGAAGUGUACGUGCUAAGAAUUUUAAGGCACCUUUGAGAGAAAACAAUGAAGAAAUGUGGCGUCCAUUUCUCAUCGACACCAGUGAGUAUCUUCUGAAUUUGAAGGAUGUCACUGGCGGGCCUUUGUGGUGCACGCCCCGAAAAACGUCAAUUCUGGGCUUUGUUAUUUCCGCUACGUCGUUCAUGGGAAUUUUUGAUGAAUUUGUUAGUAGUAAGAGGUUGAAUGACUUGCUAACAUAAAUGUAGUCAAGAUCAUCUAGAAAUUUUCUUCUGCUCAGUGCGAUCGAGAAAUGGGUGAAACAAUAACCCUACUCCUCUACGAUUUUGUAAAACUUAGAAGAUUGCUUCUAUUUACAAACAUAACGAGGGAAGGAGGAAAUUGUAAAGUGCUUUGCACCACCUGUCUGCUCUCUGUUAACAUUGGCCCAAAGCAAAAGAGCACAAAUGUUCAACAAUCAGUUGACGUGUUUGUCUUGAAAAAAUAUGAUCUCGAUAUUUUGACUGAAGCACUUGCAGAUCAUGACUAUGACCGUCUAAGUUUAUUGGGCUGAGUGAAGUGGCAGAAAACGUGGCAUAUAUUGGUAGCUAUGUUGUCAAAAUGGUGGUGAAGACGUUUAAGUGCGCAGACUGCAUUUCUUCUUGUAUUGAAACAAGAAGAAGUGACUUACACUUUUACAGAUUAUUGGACAAAAAAAAACAUGGGUGGGCUUAUUAAACCUUUUGCUGGGGUUGUGAAGACUUGUUGUUACUGUUAAUACGAAAAAUUUUGCAACUCACCGAUAAAAUUCCAAGCGAUGAACAAUUUUUUAAAACUUUCGGCAUGCCAGCAUUCUUUUUCCUAAUUUAGAAGACCCACGCACUCGAGACGGUGGCCAUCGAUGAAGGCCAUUUAUAUAUUCUUAUUAAACAAAUAAUUAAUGCCUACAUGCGAAUAAGAAUGUUUCAUUUGAGCAAAAGACUUUCAUGUCUUGCUCAAGGCACUUCUGUUAGACAUGUGUACACAUAAUUAGUACUGUUUUCGCAUCAAUAAAUAUAUUGAAGUAUAA